rnacentral:rRNA from 1 species
CCAGAGAACUUAGCAGAGAUGCUUGGUGCCUUCGGGAACUCUGAGACAGGUGCUGCAUGGCUGUCGUCAGCUCGUGUUGUGAAAUGUUGGGUUAAGUCCCGCAACGAGCGCAACCCUUAUCCUUUGUUGCCAGCGGCUCGGCCGGGAACUCAAAGGAGACUGCCGGUGAUAAACCGGAGGAAGGUGGGGAUGACGUCAAGUCAUCAUGGCCCUUACGGCCAGGGCUACACACGUGCUACAAUGGCGCAUACAAAGAGAAGCGACCUCGCGAGAGCAAGCGGACCUCACAAAGUGCGUCGUAGUCCGGAUUGGAGUCUGCAACUCGACUCCAUGAAGUCGGAAUCGCUAGUAAUCGUAGAUCAGAAUGCUACGGUCGAAUACGUUCCCGGGCCUUGUACACACCGCCCGUCACACCAUGGGAGUGGGUUGCAAAAGAAGUAGGUAGCUUAACCUUCGGGAGGGCGCUUACCACUUUGUGAUUCAUGACUGGGGUGAAGUCGUAACAAGGUAAGCGUAGCGAG